rnacentral:rRNA from 1 species
UACGGAGGAUGCAAGCGUUAUCCGGAUUUAUUAGGUAUAAAGGGUGCGUAGGCGGAUCUGUUAGUCAGCGGUGAAAUACUACGGCUUAACCGUAGAACUGCCAUUGAUACUGCAGGUCUUGAGUACAAUUGAGGUAGGCGGAAUGUGUGGUGUAGCGGUGAAAUGCUUAGAUAUCACACAGAACACCGAUUGCGAAGGCAGCUUACUAAGUUGCAACUGACGCUGAUGCACGAAAGCAUGGGGAG